AUGGCCAUCAAUCUCCUCAUCCUCCCCCUCGAUGAGGUCGGACGCCUGUAUCCCGCGAGGCUGGAGAUGGCGCCCACCAUGAGGAGUGGACGGAGGUGCUGGAACCGCCCAGCAGAGGUGCUACGACGGCAUGACGGAGAUGCUACCUCCGUUGCCGGUGAAGAUGCAUCCGUCGACGGCGGCGCUGUGACGACAUGGCGGAGGUGUUGGAACCGGCUGGUAGAGGUGUUGCAUCCGUUGUCGGGGAAGCUGCAUCCCCUGUCGUCAGUGUUGGGUGAGGUGCUGGAACCGCUCGACGGAGGUGUUACAUCCAUGGCUGGGAGGCAGGCGGGGGGCAGCACCGACGAGGGGUGA
rnacentral:rRNA from 1 species